rnacentral:rRNA from 1 species
AUUGAACGCUGGCGGCAUGCCUUACACAUGCAAGUCGAACGGUGACAGGUCUUCGGAUGCUGACGAGUGGCGAACGGGUGAGUAAUACAUCGGAACGUGCCUAGUAGUGGGGAUAACUACUCGAAAGAGUGGCUAAUACCGCAUGAGAUCUAAGGGUGAAAGCAGGGGAUCGCAAGACCUUGUGCUACUAGAGCGGCCGAUGGCAGAUUAGGUAGUUGGUGGGAUAAAAGCUUACCAAGCCGACGAUCUGUAGCUGGUCUGAGAGGACGAUCAGCCACACUGGGACUGAGACACGGCCCAGACUCCUACGGGAGGCAGCAGUGGGGAAUUUUGGACAAUGGGCGCAAGCCUGAUCCAGCAAUGCCGCGUGCAGGAUGAAGGCCUUCGGGUUGUAAACUGCUUUUGUACGGAACGAAAAGCCCUGGGUUAAUACCCUGGGGUCAUGACGGUACCGUAAGAAUAAGCACCGGCUAACUACGUGCCAGCCGCCGCCGUAAAAC